UCCGGUUUGUCACCGGCAGUCUCAUUAGAGUGCUCAACUUAAUGGAGCAACUAAUGACAAGGGUUGCGCUCGUUGCGGGACUUAACCCAACAUCUCACGACACGAGCUGACGACAGCCAUGCAGCACCUGUGUUCCGAUUCCCUUUCGGGCACACCCGAAUCUCUUCAGGCUCUCGGACAUGUCAAGGGUAGGUAAGGUUUUUCGCGUUGCAUCGAAUUAAUCCACAUAAUCCACCGCUUGUGCGGGUCCCCGUCAAUUCCUUUGAGUUUUAGCCUUGCGGCCGUACUCCCCAGGCGGGGCGCUUAAUGCGUUAGCUGCGGCACGGAACUCGUGGAAUGAGCCCCACACCUAGCGCCCAACGUUUACGGCGUGGACUAC
rnacentral:misc_RNA from 1 species